rnacentral:rRNA from 1 species
UUGAGAGUUUGAUUCUGGCUCAGAAUGAACGCUGGCGGCGUGCCUCAGACAUGCAAGUCGAACGAGAAAGAUCCUUCGGGAUUAAGUAAAGUGGCGCACGGGUGAGUAAUACUUAGGUAACGUACCUUCUCGCUGGGGAUAACGAGGCGAAAGCUUCGCUAAUACCGAAUGACUCUCCCCUUUUUUGAACUGCAGGAUUUUUGGAAUUUCCAGGAAACUGCUGUUCAAAAAAGGGGAGAGAAAGCCGAAAGGCGCGAGAAGCUCGGCUUAAGUCCUAUUAGCUAGUUGGUGAGGUAAUGGCUCACCAAGGCUUCGAUGGGUAGCUGGUCUAAGAGGAUGAUCAGUCACACUGGAACUGGAACACGGUCCAGACUCCUACGGGAGGCAGCAGUUAGGAAUUUUGCGCAAUGGGCGAAAGCCUGACGCAGCAACGCCGCGUGAGGGAAGAAGGCUUUCGGGUUGUAAACCUCUUUUAGCAGGGACGAACACAAUGACGGUACCUGCAGAAAAAGCACCGGCUAACUACGUGCCAGCAGCCGCGGUAAUACGUAGGGUGCAAGCGUUAUUCGGAUUUAUUGGGCGUAAAGAGCAUGUAGGCGGUUUGCUAAGUCUGAUGUGAAAGCCCUCGACUUAAUCGAGGAAGUGCAUUGGAUACUGGCAAACUAGAGUACAGGAGGGGUGAGCGGAAUUCCAGGU